AUGAACGCUAGCUACAGGCUUAACACAUGCAAGUCGAGGGGCAGCAUUUUAGUUUGCUUGCAAACUAAAGAUGGCGACCGGCGCACGGGUGAGUAACACGUAUCCAACCUGCCGAUAACUCGGGGAUAGCCUUUCGAAAGAAAGAUUAAUAUCCGAUAGUAUAUUAAAACCGCAUGGUUUUACUAUUAAAGAAUUUCGGUUAUCGAUGGGGAUGCGUUCCAUUAGUUUGUUGGCGGGGUAACGGCCCACCAAGACUACGAUGGAUAGGGGUUCUGAGAGGAAGGUCCCCCACAUUGGAACUGAGACACGGUCCAAACUCCUACGGGAGGCAGCAGUGAGGAAUAUUGGUCAAUGGACGAGAGUCUGAACCAGCCAAGUAGCGUGAAGGAUGACUGCCCUAUGGGUUGUAAACUUCUUUUAUAUGGGAAUAAAGUAUUCCACGUGUGGGAUUUUGUAUGUACCAUAUGAAUAAGGAUCGGCUAACUCCGUGCCAGCAGCCGCGGUAAUACGGAGGAUCCGAGCGUUAUCCGGAUUUAUUGGGUUUAAAGGGAGCGUAGGUGGAUUGUUAAGUCAGUUGUGAAAGUUUGCGGCUCAACCGUAAAAUUGCAGUUGAAACUGGCAGUCUUGAGUACAGUAGAGGUGGGCGGAAUUCGUGGUGUAGCGGUGAAAUGCUUAGAUAUCACGAAGAACUCCGAUUGCGAAGGCAGCUCACUAGACUGCAACUGACACUAAUGCUCGAAAGUGUGGGUAUCAAACAGGAUUAGAUACCCUGGUAGUCCACACAGUAAACGAUGAAUACUCGCUGUUUGCGAUAUACAGUAAGCGGCCAAGCGAAAGCAUUAAGUAUUCCACCUGGGGAGUACGCCGGCAACGGUGAAACUCAAAGGAAUUGACGGGGGCCCGCACAAGCGGAGGAACAUGUGGUUUAAUUCGAUGAUACGCGAGGAACCUUACCCGGGCUUAAAUUGCAUUUGAAUAAUCUGGAAACAGGUUAGCCGCAAGGCAAAUGUGAAGGUGCUGCAUGGUUGUCGUCAGCUCGUGUCGUGAGAUGUUGGGUUAAGUCCCGCAACGAGCGCAACCCUUAUCUUUAGUUACUAACAGGUCAUGCUGAGGACUCUAGAGAGACUGCCGUCGUAAGAUGUGAGGAAGGUGGGGAUGACGUCAAAUCAGCACGGCCCUUACGUCCGGGGCUACACACGUGUUACAAUGGGGGGUACAGAAGGCAGCUACCUGGCGACAGGAUGCUAAUCCCAAAAACCUCUCUCAGUUCGGAUCGAAGUCUGCAACCCGACUUCGUGAAGCUGGAUUCGCUAGUAAUCGCGCAUCAGCCAUGGCGCGGUGAAUACGUUCCCGGGCCUUGUACACACCGCCCGUCAAGCCAUGAAAGCCGGGGGUACCUGAAGUACGUAACCGCAAGGAGCGUCCUAGGGUAAAACUGGUAAUUGGGGCU
rnacentral:rRNA from 1 species